UACAGAGGGUGCAAGCGUUGUUCGGAAUUAUUGGGCGUAAAGCGCGUGUAGGCGGCUUUGCAAGUCGGGUGUGAAAGCCCUCAGCUCAACUGAGGAAGUGCGCCCGAAACUGCAGAGCUUGAGUGCCGGAGAGGGUGGCGGAAUUCCCCAAGUAGAGGUGAAAUACGUAGAGAUUGGGAAGAACACCAGUGGCGAAGGCGGCUAUCUGGACGGUUUCUGACGCUAAGACGCGAAAGCGUGGGGAGCAAACAGG
rnacentral:rRNA from 1 species